rnacentral:tRNA from 1 species
GAGGCUCAAUGGUAGAGUGCAUGCCUUGCAUGCAUGAGGCCCUGGGUUCAAUUCCUCAGC